AGAUAGUUGGUGAGGUAAUGGCUCACCAAGUCAAUGACGCCUAACUGGUUUGAGAGGAUGAUCAGUCACACUGGAACUGAGACACGGUCCAGACUCCUACGGGAGGCAGCAGUGGGGAAUAUUGCACAAUGGAGGAAACUCUGAUGCAGCAACGCCGCGUGGAGGAUGACACUUUUCGGAGCGUAAACUCCUUUUAUAUAGGAAGAUAAUGACGGUACUAUAUGAAUAAGCACCGGCUAACUCCGUGCCAGCAGCCGCGGUAAUACGGAGGGUGCAAGCGUUACUCGGAAUCACUGGGCGUAAAGAGCGUGUAGGCGGAUAGAUAAGUUUGAAGUGAAAUCCAAUGGCUUAACCAUUGAACUGCUUUGAAAACUGUCUAUCUAGAAUAUGGGAGAGGUAGAUGGAAUUUCUGGUGUAGGGGUAAAAUCCGUAGAGAUCAGAAGGAAUACCGAUUGCGAAGGCGAUCUACUGGAACAUUAUUGACGCUGAGACGCGAAAGCGUGGGGAGCAAACAGGAUUAGAUACCCUGGUAGUCCACGCCCUAAACGAUGUACACUAGUUGUUGCGAUGCUAGACAUUGCAGUAAUGCAGUUAACACAUUAAGUGUACCGCCUGGGGAGUACGGUCGCAAGAUUAAAACUCAAAGGAAUAGACGGGGACCCGCACAAGCGGUGGAGCAUGUGGUUUAAUUCGACAUACGCGAAGAACCUUACCUGGACUUGACAUAGUAAGAACUUUCUAGAGAUAGAUUGGUGUCUGCUUGCAGAAACUUAUAUACAGGUGCUGCACGGCUGUCGUCAGCUCGUGUCGUGAGAUGUUGGGUUAAGUCCCGCAACGAGCGCAACCCUCGUCGUUAGUUGCUAACAGUUCGGCUGAGAACUCUAACGAGACUGCCUACGCAAGUAGGAGGAAGGUGAGGACGACGUCAAGUCAUCAUGGCCCUUACGUCCAGGGCUACACACGUGCUACAAUGGGGCAUACAAGGAGCAGCAAUACGGUGACGUGGAGCAAAUCUCAAAAAUGCCUCCCAGUUCGGAUAGUAGUCUGCAACUCGACUACUUGAAGUUGGAAUCGCUAGUAAUCGUAGAUCAGCAAUGCUACGGUGAAUACGUUCCCGGGUCUUGUACUCACCGCCCGUCACACCAUGGGAGUUGAACUCAUUCGAAGCGGGGAUGCUAAAGUAGCUACCCUCCACAGUGGAUUCAGCGACUGGGGUGAAGUCGUAACAAGGUAACCGUAGGAGAACCUGCGGUUG
rnacentral:rRNA from 1 species